rnacentral:rRNA from 1 species
GUUGCAUGACAUGGUGUGAAAAACUCCGGUGGUAUGAGAUGGACCCGCGUCUGAUUAGCUAGUUGGUGAGAUAACAGCCCACCAAGGCGACGAUCAGUAGCCGACCUGAGAGGGUGACCGGCCACAUUGGGACUGAGACACGGCCCAGACUCCUACGGGAGGCAGCAGUGGGGAAUAUUGCACAAUGGAGGAAACUCUGAUGCAGCGACGCCGCGUGAGUGAAGAAGUAAUUCGUUAUGUAAAGCUCUAUCAGCAGGGAAGAUAGUGACGGUACCUGACUAAGAAGCUCCGGCUAAAUACGUGCCAGCAGCCGCGGUAAUACGUAUGGAGCAAGCGUUAUCCGGAUUUACUGGGUGUAAAGGGAGUGUAGGUGGUCAUGCAAGUCAGAAGUGAAAAUCCGGGGCUCAACCCCGGAACUGCUUUUGAAACUGUAAGGCUAGAGUGCAGGAGGGGUGAGUGGAAUUCCUAGUGUAGCGGUGAAAUGCGUAGAUAUUAGGAGGAACACCAGUGGCGAAGGCGGCUCACUGGACUGUAACUGACACUGAGGCUCGAAAGCGUGGGGAGC